ensembl:lncRNA
UAGAAGUGAAAGUUACAGUCCUGGGAAUUGUUAUUUUCCUUCGUUGUUUUUGAGAGGGAGAUAUAAAGAAGGGUGUCACCAGAGACUGUAACUCAUCUUUAUGGAACCUUCAUCCUUGUAUUCUUUUUCCUGAAAACAUUAUCCUUCUUUUUUGGCUCAAAGGCUACAUUGCUUUACAGUUUUUGAUGCCAGCUGGAGCAGAUAUUCAUUCCAAAACAUCUGACAACUAUGCUUUACUGUCAGAAUAUAUUAUUCAGAAGUUGAAACAGGUCUGUUCAAUGUGGAUUAAAGCAGAGACAUCCCAGGUAGUUGGAGAAGGGUUCUUCACCCACCACUGCACAUCUCCGUGGCAGUUGCACUCAGCUCUCCUCGUGCUCAGAGCAGUGACAGAACUGCCCUGGGGAGGCCAUUCACCACACCUUUGGAUGAUGAGAGACCACCAAAAAUGCCCAUGGCUUUUGAAGGGAUCCACAUUAUUUUACAGGAAUCUCACAUACUAAGAGAUCAGAAAAUUAUUUAGCAACAACAGAAGGCUGUGAGGUCCAAACACAUCCAUGCCCUGCAUUCCCUUGGAUGAAAGGACUGUGGGCUGAGAAGCUGACCCUGUGGGAUGGCUACCAUUGGUGAUGUUGAUCAAAGGUAUUUGAUCUCACCACCUAGACUGAAAUGGGAUGGCAGCUGGGGAAUCAGACAAAGAGCUACUCAUCCAACAUAAUCACAGCCUACCACGAGGUCUGGUCUCAGUUCAACCAGCGUUCCCUGGAAGAAGUGCUCAGGGUAAUGGUUGUAAUCUUUCGGGCAUUCUGAAGCUGUAAACCCAAGAUCAGCUCCUGCGCUACCUGGAGCAGAAAGUAAUUUGAUUUUCCAUUUCUGGCCUUUGCAGUGAGUUGACUAAAGAACUGUUUUCUGGGAGGAAAUCUGUGAGUGUACAUACAGGCCCAGACUUUUAUGAAGAUCAGCAGUAUUUCUGCAGAAAUCACUGGACUUAGACCAGGGCAGAGUUGGUGUUAAUGAGAAUGAAAUCCUGCAAAGCCUGGAAGCAAUCCAAAUCCUAUGUCCUUCUGAAGCAUCGUAAUUGAUUCAGAGCCCCUAAAAGUUGUGUUUUAUGGAGAUAGUUACAACUCCUUUUGUUUUUGUCCAUCCUUCUCCUGAAGGUCAGUCUGUCCCUAAAGGGAAGAGACCAACUAUUCCAUCCCUCCACACAGGGGUUGGUUGCCCUCAGUCCUGGCCAUCCCUUUGGUUCAUCUCUCCUCAGCUCUGUCAUGACAGCAAAUGCUCCCCUG